AAGGCACUGUAGUGUUAAGUUAGUUAGUCUAGCUAAGUUAGUUCAAUUCCAAUUUAGUUUUUCAAAAUUUUUAUUAAUUUUUUCAAAUUGAACAGCCUGGCUAGGCUUAGCACAAAGGCCGGCAGAUGGCGAUAUUGAAUAGGUUCAUCUUACCGGCCAAAGGGAAUGCAUGCAGCCAGCUAUACACUCGUAUCCCCUGUGGACCGGUUCGUACAUAAAACAUUCUCCAUUCAGGCUGAAAAUGUAUGCAUUUCCUCCUUAACUCGAUUUAAUGGCGAGAAGGCAGAAAAAAUACGGGGAUAAUACUGGUGAUUGGGUGCCAGACCGACCCAUGCAGUCUGCAACACGCUUCUGUAGAGGUUCAUCUGAAGCCCUCUAAAAGAAGCAAGGCCUAUCAGGUCAGGAUACAAAAUAAGAGUGUGUCUUGCGAUACAAGGACUCGUGACCACCCCUGAACCUCCUCUGGCAAACUCUACCCGCCUGAAAUGGCCCAGAUGUGAGGUGCUUACAGACGAUUCCAGUUCCUGCUGAGAUAACAUCAACUGUGACAGAUCCUUUUGUAAAACACCUCCUCACAAGUACAUUGUGUAUGAGGACAACCUGAUGGAACUCUUCAAGACUUGUCCAGUUUGCAGCAGGACAUGUAAUAUUGACAAAGGGGUUCUAGGCACACAGUUGCAUGUUGAGCAGAGCUGUGCUCACUGUGAGCAUUCACUGAAAUGGAGCAAUCAACCUUAUAUGGCCAAUAUACCAGCUGGAAACCUGCAUCUCUCUGCUGCUGUCGUCUUCACCGGAUCCUCAUUUGUUCAGAUCAGGAUGUUCAUGGCUGCAUUCAAUGCUCAAGGCAUCUCUGAAGCAAGGUUUCACAGGCACCAGGUGAAGCUUCUUCAUCCCACCAUCCACUGGCAGUGGAACUGGGACCAAACGGAACAGAUCUCAUUCACUUCUUUUUUUUUUACCUGCACUGUUAUAGCUCGGAGCGUAAGAAUUUCACUGUAUCCUGCUAUUAUAUCUGUGCAUGUGACUA